CAGUCGCCGCGGUAAAACGAAGGGUGCAAGCGUUAAUCGGAAUUACUGGGCGUAAAGCGUGCGUAGGCGGUUUGUUAAGUCUGUUGUGAAAUCCCCGGGCUCAACCUGGGAAUGGCAAUGGAUACUGGCAAGCUAGAGUGUGUCAGAGGAUGGUGGAAUUCCCGGUGUAGCGGUGAAAUGCGUAGAGAUCGGGAGGAACAUCAGUGGCGAAGGCGGCCAUCUGGGACAACACUGACGCUGAGGCACGAAAGCGUGGGGAGCAAACAGGAUUAGAUACCCCGGUAGUCCCUGUCUCUUAUAA
rnacentral:rRNA from 1 species